GGGAGGUGGUGGCAGGAGCUGGUGGAAUGCGUCAGGUUUGAGGGGCUGAGUGAACACACGUGGAGCUAUGGACGAGGCAGCCGGGGUGACUCAUGGUCAGCGUGGGGUCCAGACCUCAGAUAGAAACUGGGGUAUUAUCAGCCUUAGAUGGCAUCUCAGGCAGGAGCUGAGACGGGCUUGCCAAGGGCACGAGUGUAGAUGGAUGAGAGGAGAGGCCCAGCACCAGCCUGGGUGCCUGAGGGUGGGGCAGUGAGGAGUGGCUGGGGAGGACAAGGGGACCUGCAAGCUGUCACAGUGGCCUGGCUCGGCACCUCUCACACUGUAAUAGACUGCAGAAUCGAGCCUGGGAACUUGCUUAGAAAGCAGACUUCUGGCUGCUACCGAGAAAUCCUGAUUCUGAAAUGUAUGACUUAGGGCAUGCUGAGCUAUUGCAAUAAGAAGGCCCCCAAAACAGGUCUGCUUCUCUGGGGUCAGGUGUGCAAGCUGGCAUUUUCCUCACGCUCCAGGGCGUGUUCUUAGCAGAGUGUCCAGUGACAACCCCUCUGGACACUGUCACUGUGCCAUGUGCCUGGGCACGCUCCCCAUGGGGCUGAAAACCCCUUGGGAACAGGAACUGUCUGGUAACUCGGGGCCCGGUCCCACUGCACCCCCUCCCACAACUGAAGGAGAUUCAGACCCCUGCAUGCAGCAGCCCCUGACCCCCCCACCCCCACCCCCGACUCCACCAGCAGCGCUCUGCUGCCCUCCCGGGAAAAUGAGGAACCAGAGGUUUCCCAACAACUUGGAGAGAAAUCACACUUCUCUUCAAAGGAAUUAAAAUCAUGCCCACAUCAUUCUCCAUCCCAUGUCCAAGCAAACCCUCUUCUGUGAAAGCGUAAGGAAAAGAAAAGACACCCUCCUUCCGCCUCUGCGACACCAAAGCCAAACCAUCCUGUGGAUGGGAUGGGGCGGGGGGUGGAGGCUCUUGGGGGGCCGCCGGCUCCCCGUCAUGUUAGGCCCGAUGGAGAAUGGCCUCGUGAUGCCUGCCUUUCUCCCAGGCCUGCCUCCUGUCCAACCGGCAUGGUUCACGUUAAGGAAAAUAAACGCAGUCUGUCCCGGAGGCCACACCGUGGCUGUGUGGUUGUGUUAGGCUGUGGCGACAGCGGAGAGGAGGAGGCCGAGGGCUGGAGCAGAGCCUGGCCGUGGUUCUGAGGGGUUCACCUUCAGAGGAAGGCGCUUUCCGGGCUGUUGCCAACACGGGCUUUGGGACAACUUGAGGCCGUCUCAGUUCUCCCUGCACCGCGGGGAUAACGCGCCAGAUGAAGGGGCUUUUUUUCUUCCUCUUCUGCCACCAAUGCCUCCUCCUCCUCCUCCUCUUCUUCUUUUUUGUGUUGUUUAAAAUUUUCCUGCUAGUAGCCGUCCUUCCUGGAAGAGCAGCAUCUGAGAAUCCAAGGGCUGGGUGUGACUUUGAGACAGGGAACUGCCUGUCCUUCGCCGGGCGAGCAUCUGACCGCCUGAGCCGGGGCUGGUCUCUGUUAGCACCCUGCCCGGGACACAGAUGCCGGCGUUUUGCUUUAUACCUCGUCCUCACCACUCCCCACCAUCCUCCCUCCUGUAAUUAAGUGCAGGACCUGUGGUUGGGUCUCGGGCGGGUUUGGGAGAUACAGAUUUGCACUCGCUUCCUGUUGCUGGAUGCAGGUUGACUCCUUGAGCUCCUGGUGAGGCUGGAGCAGAGCUGAGAGCUGGGCAGUCUGCCUUCCGGCAGCCCAUCCUGUAACUGGCAGCUUCAUGGGCCGGCGUGGUACGGUCUGUCAGUGGUCCAUGGCUCCAGGACCACCCUGGGGCACCUGGCCAGCCUAGGUGCCUCCCUCCUAUCACCCGGGCCCUGUACGUAAGUCUCCCCUCCCUUACAAAGGGCCUUGGGGAUGCUGCAGGCCUCAGGCUGCUCGGGCACCAAGGCCCACUUCACAGGCCCCUGGACCCUGAGAACUGCUGUGUAACCCAUCACUAGCAGGGAUCUCAGACCUCGUCGAGGGGGAGGGUCACACAGGCUGAACGGGGUUACCUCGGGGGAAGCAGCCCCGAUUAAAUCCCAAAUGAGGAGGAAGAGGGCUGUGCUGGGGCGAGUGAGAGGGGGAAGGACCAGACACAGCGGACCCCAGCACUAGCUGCGAGGGGCUCAGCCACUGCCGACUCUCUGGGAGGCCCUGUCUCCCCAGAGCUUGCGUUCCUGACAUAGAUCUAAACCCAGCAUGUCAUAUGCCAUCACCGAAAUAACAACCAGAUUGCAUGCAAGAUCGAAAAAAUUCUUUUAGGAGUUCCUGUCGUGGCUCAGCAGUUAACGAACCUGGCUAGGAACCAUGAGGUUUGCGGGUUCAAUCCCUGGCCUCGAGCACAGUGGGUUAAAGAUCUGGCGUUGCUGUGGCUCUGGCCUAGGCCGGCAGCUACAGCUCUGAUUGGACCCCUGGCCUGGGAACCUCCGUGUGCUGCAGCUGCGGCCCU
rnacentral:lncRNA from 1 species